rnacentral:misc_RNA from 1 species
GAUGAAGAACGCAGCGAAAUGCGAUAAGUAAUGUGAAUUGCAGAAUUCAGUGAAUCAUCGAAUCUUUGAACGCACAUUGCGCCCGCCAGCAUUCUGGCGGGCAUGCCUGUUCGAGCGUCAUUUCAACCCUCGACCUCCCCUUGGGGAAGUCGGCGUUGGGGACCGGCAGCAUACCGCCGGCCCCGAAAUGGAGUGGCGGCCCGUCCGCGGCGACCUCUGCGUAGUAAUCCAACCUCGCACCGGAACCCCGACGUGGCCACGCCGUAAAACCCCCAACUUUCUGAACGUUGACCUCGGAUCAGGUAGGAAUACCCGCUGAACUUAAGCAUAUCAAUAAGCGGAGA